UCCUUCUGGAGGCAUUCUCAACAGACUAUUAGUUUAGCUCUCUAACCUAGAUAUAACAAUCUGAAAUUUAAUUCGCCACUGACAUCAUUAACUUUUCAAUGUAAAGCAUCUAAAAUGCUCAAAAAGUUCAAAUCCCCAUCAUAGACAAUGAGGGGAAAAAAAGCAUCCCACUAACAAUGAAUUAACAAUAAUUACGUCUUAAUCCUAAACUAGUUGGAAUUGCCACUCAGCUCUGUUAAACCCCAAGUCCACAUCAAUAUUACAUACCAUAGUAACACCCUACCCAAUUCUUCUAACACAUUAAGAGCAUAAAUAGAAGUAACAUAAAUUUUGAUGACAUCUAUACUUGCAAGUAGCAAUCACGGCUUCAUUUCAAAUCCACAUGCCUUAGUUAUAUAGUAUGAGAGAGAAUGUAGAAGGAAAUACUGUGAAUGGUAACUGGAAAUAGCAUUUCAAA
rnacentral:misc_RNA from 1 species